AUGAUAAUUGGCACAUUUCUUUAUUUCGAAAACAGACAUUGAAACUUUGUUUAAAUUUUAUUUAUUUUAUUCUUUUUUUUUUUUUUCCACAAUUGAACUCCUUUUUAGAUUCAAACUGGACAUUGCACUCUCACGUGAACAUAGGGAAGAAAAAAAAAAAAAGGCUGAUUCGUUUUUUCUUUUUUCGUUCGAUUUUUCUCUUUCGUUUUUCAACAUCAGCGCAGGAAUAAUUCCAGUCGAUAUCAUCAAACCGCCAUUAACAACAUCGAAGACAUCGAGAAAGAAGCCACAACGUUUUGGUUACUCGUGACUGCGAGGAGGAUUUUUUUUUUUUUUUUUUUUUCUCUCUCUCAGGAGGAAAAUUUCCAUGCAAAUGAGUCGAAUGGGUUCAAGCUAUCCAUGAAACGCUGGCCAAAACAAUGCAUCAGCAGAAAACACUGAAAGGGAAUCAUAUAAUACUUCUCCCUAAUAAAUAGCAGUGCACUAUUACUACGGUAAAUGGAAAAAGGCAAAUAUAUAUGUAUGUUUGUGUGUGUGUGUGUGUGUGUGUGUGUGUGUGUGUGUGUGUGUGUGUGUGUGUGUGUGUGUGCGUGCAUGGAUUUGUAAUUUAAUUAAAUAAAUGGCAUGCAUAAAGGAUGAUGCAUUAUUUUUUUUAAUAAAAAUAUAAUAAAAAUCAGCCUUUAAUCAGAGUGCAGCUCCAUCGCAUUGUGAAAAUCAGAUGUGUGCUUUAUGGCGCGCGGAUGUGUGAACCACGCCCCGGUCCGAGGGUUUAAAUGCCCUUCCCUCCCCCACACUUAAGAACCUAUUAUGGAUUUCAGGCCAGAAGGAACUGAGAAGAAGCAGAAGACACAAGGUGGACACGAUCUCAAUUACCGGUGAAGUGCAAAGAGAAAGAAAAAAAUAUAUAUCCGCACGCGUAUUUUUCUCUGUGUCUCUUUUCACGUGCACAUAAAAUGCACGUUUUUUUUUCCUUGCUAAAAAAUGCGCGAGCGUGUCCAGGCAUGCACGUGCAGCGGGCACCUGCGCGUGCGACGAGGAUCAAGAGUAUUUCUAUAAUUUCUUUUUUUCCCUCGCGCACCGAUGGUUAUACAAUCAUGUGGCCUUUCGGGCAUUUGAAUGAUAGUCUGCUUCAGAUGCACGAGCCUGAGAAACGCGUUUUUUUUCCAGCUUUGCAAUGCAACGGUGCAACUGUCGUCGCGAGCGUUUGUGCAAAACGGUGUGAAUGCAACCAACACGUCUAUUGUGCUUUUUUUUUCCCCCCCGUGUAAUUUUCUACAUCUAUAUUCCUGGUGGUCUGUAUACCCGCGCACACUCGCGCGCACGGCCGCCGCCACGCCCUUUUUAUCUCCUUUCACCCCCUCCCCGAAAAUUCCGCGGGGGCGCGCGUGGAUGCACGUGGCUCCGGUUCUGAUUUUUAUUUAAUUUAUAUUUUUACAUGCACGCUCCUGGCACAAAAAAAACGACUCGUGCAUGAUUAUAAUUGAACUAAAAUACGGCCAUUUGCGUUUGGAGAUCAGGUUGCACCACCAAGCGUCAUUUCACGCCCUCACCGGUGCACGCGGACGGGGAGGAGGGAGUCGUUUGAGAUGCGGCGCGAGAUAUGACAAGUGCCGGCUGCACCUCGUGACCUCGCUGUUCUACUUUUUCCAGCACACCUGGUUUAUUUUAAUGCAAGGCGAAAAAACAAAGAGUUUUCUAUGAUGCAUUUCAAAUUGUAUCAAUAAACCUAUAUGUUAUACGCA